GGCCCCAUCGUCUAACGGUCAGGACGUCACUCUUUCAAGGUGAAAACCGGGGUUCGAUUCCCCGUGGGGCCG
rnacentral:tRNA from 2 species